rnacentral:rRNA from 1 species
CAGCCGCCGCGGUAAUACAGAGGGUGCGAGCGUUAAUCGGAUUUACUGGGCGUAAAGCGCGCGUAGGUGGUUCGCCAAGUUGGAUGUGAAAUCCCCGGGCUCAACCUGGGAACUGCAUCCAAAACUGGCGAGCUAGAGUAUGGUAGAGGGUGGUGGAAUUUCCUGUGUAGCGGUGAAAUGCGUAGAUAUAGGAAGGAACACCAGUGGCGAAGGCGACUACCUGGACUGAUACUGACACUGAGGUGCGAAAGCGUGGGGAGCAAACAGGAUUAGAUACCCCGGUAGUCCCUGUCUCUUAUAC